UACGUAGGGUGCGAGCGUUAAUCGGAAUUACUGGGCGUAAAGCGUGCGCAGGCGGUGAGCUGUGUCCGAUGUGAAAGCCCCGGGCUUAACCCUGGGGAAUGGCAUUGGAAACGUGGCUCGCUGGAGUGUGGCAGAGGGGGGUGGAAUUCCGCGGUGUAGCAGUGAAAUGCGUAGAGAUGCGGAGGAACACCGAUGGCGAAGGCAGCCCCCUGGGCUAACACGUGACGCUCGAGGCACGAAAGCGUGGGAGCAACAGGAUUAGACU
rnacentral:rRNA from 1 species